rnacentral:misc_RNA from 1 species
AUUUAAUUUUUAUAAAAUUGUUGCAAGUGUGGUUUGUCUUAGUUAGACAAGGAAGCAAUCAAGAGAUUUUCUCUCUAUCAUAAUUAUUAGAUUCUCAUUUUAUCAGAUAGCUAGCUUUUGUUUUAAGAAACUUUUUCUUUUUGUGCAUGUGAACUCCUGAAACCCUUUAUAUGAAUAUGAAUGUAUGUGCACCAGUUCUUGUUUUUUUCUCA